UGAGGAAUAUUGGACAAUGGAUGGAAAUCUGAUCCAGCCAUGCCGCGUGCAGGAAGACGGCCCUAUGGGUUGUAAACUGCUUUUGUAUGGGAGCAAUAAGGACUACGUGUAGUUUGAUGAGAGUACCAUACGAAUAAGCAUCGGCUAACUCCGUGCCAGCAGCCGCGGUAAUACGGAGGAUGCGAGCGUUAUCCGGAUUUAUUGGGUUUAAAGGGUGCGUAGGCGGCGAUAUAAGUCAGUGGUGAAAUAUUUCGGCUUAACCGAGAGACUGCCAUUGAUACUGUGUUGCUAGAAUAUGGUUGCUGUGAGUGGAAUGUGUGGUGUAGCGGUGAAAUGCUUAGAUAUCACGCAGAAUAUCGAUUGCGAAGGCAGCUCACAAAGCCAUUAUUGACGCUGAGGCACGAAAGUGUGGGGAUCAAACA
rnacentral:rRNA from 1 species